rnacentral:rRNA from 1 species
UAGGGAAUCUUCCGCAAUGGACGCAAGUCUGACGGAGCAACGCCGCGUGAGUGAAGAAGGAUUUCGGUUCGUAAAACUCUGUUGUUAGAGAAGAACAGCGCAUAGAGUAACUGUUAUGCGUGUGACGGUAUCUAACCAGAAAGCCACGGCUAACUACGUGCCAGCAGCCGCGGUAAUACGUAGGUGGCAAGCGUUGUCCGGAUUUAUUGGGCGUAAAGCGAGCGCAGGCGGUCAAUUAAGUCUGAUGUGAAAGCCCCCGGCUCAACCGGGGAGGGUCAUUGGAAACUGGUUGACUUGAGUGCAGAAGAGGAGAGUGGAAUUCCAUGUGUAGCGGUGAAAUGCGUAGAUAUAUGGAGGAACACCAGUGGCAAAGGCGACUCUCUGGUCUGUAACUGACGCUGAGGCUCGAAAGCGUGGGUAGCAAACAGG